GGCCACCUCCGGGGGGCUUUACCAAAGGUGGUUAAACCACCGGCAUAGCAAACGGAAGACAGAAA
rnacentral:ncRNA from 1 species